UGCGAUGAUGGACCUACUGGUUGAACU
rnacentral:piRNA from 1 species